UACGAAGGGGGCUAGCGUUGCUCGGAAUCACUGGGCGUAAAGGGCGCGUAGGCGGCCAUUCGAGUCAGAGGUGAAAGCCCAAGGCUCAACCUUGGAAUUGCCUUUGAUACUGUUUGGCUUGAGACCGGAAGAGGUUAGUGGAACUGCGAGUGUAGAGGUGAAAUUCGUAGAUAUUCGCAAGAACACCAGUGGCGAAGGCGGCUAACUGGUCCGGUUCUGACGCUGAGGCGCGAAAGCGUGGGGAGCGAACAGG
rnacentral:rRNA from 1 species